rfam:Equus caballus chromosome 22, whole genome shotgun sequence.
AGAGGGUACGGAAUGGAUCUUGGAGGAGGGGGUCGCUGCUGGGCCUCGACGAGAACGCCGUGUAGACAUCUACAGCCUUCAGUCUCCUGAUCU